AGUGAACGCUGGCGGUAGGCCUAACACAUGCAAGUCGAACGGCAGCACAGUAAGAGCUUGCUCUUACGGGUGGCGAGUGGCGGACGGGUGAGGAAUACAUCGGAAUCUACUUUUUCGUGGGGGAUAACGUAGGGAAACUUACGCUAAUACCGCAUACGACCUACGGGUGAAAGCAGGGGAUCUUCGGACCUUGCGCGAUUGAAUGAGCCGAUGUCGGAUUAGCUAGUUGGCGGGGUAAAGGCCCACCAAGGCGACGAUCCGUAGCUGGUCUGAGAGGGUGAUCAGCCACACUGGAACUGAGACACGGUCCAGACUCCUACGGGAGGCAGCAGUGGGGAAUAUUGGACAAUGGGCGCAAGCCUGAUCCAGCCAUACCGCGUGGGUGAAGAAGGCCUUUGGGUUGUAAAGCCCUUUUGUUGGGAAAGAAAAGCAGCAGGUUAAUACCCCGCUGUUCUGACGGUACCCAAAGAAUAAGCACCGGCUAACUUCGUG
rnacentral:rRNA from 1 species